UUUUAAUUAAAUAUUUUAAUUAAUUUUAAUAUUAAUUGAUAUUUAAUUAGUAAGUCUUUUAACUAAAAAAAAAAAAAAAAGACAUCACGAAAAUCAAAACAUAUCCAAGAACAUUAUCUUCUUUACUGUGGAAAUUUCGCUAAAUUUCUUUAAAAAUUACAAAUGCGAAGCGGGCUGGAAACGAACCAGAGAAACAUCGAAGAAUUGGUUGAAUUAUUACCUUAACCCUGUUAAAACGAGAUUAUAAUAUUCUAAAAGGAAAAAAAGACAAGUCGAAGUUAAGUUUUAAUCUCGAGUCUUUGUUGUUGAUGCAACAACGGGAAAAAUAACCCCAAAGGAAUAUAAAAUAUAUUAAAAAACACAGUUUAAACCAAGGGAAAAUUAAAUUUACCAAACUGGCGAACGAUACAACGAUAGACAAUAUGCCAACGAAAGGUGAGUAAACAGGUUCAAUUCUAUCUUGUGAAUAUCAAAUUUGUUGUUGGUUUGUCUUAGAAUGAUUUUUGUUUUGUUUCUCAGCCCCUUUAAGUACGAAUUAGGAUUUUAACUCUCUACGAGAGAUUUAGAAAUUUAGUAUUUCUCAGGAUUUUAACUGUUUCUCUUAAAUAUCUUCUUCGGUUUUUGCAUAUUUUUAUAUGCUAUUUAUUUGUAUUUAUGAAUCUGAAGCGAUUAUCCAAAAUUAUUCUUAUUAUUAAUGCGGCGAAAUGGCAGAAUCGUUAGCACGCUGGACGAAAUGCUUAGCGUUAUUUCACCCAUCGCUCCGUUCUGAGUUCAAAUUCCGCCGAGGUCGACUUUGCUUUUCAUCGUUUCAGGGUCGAUUAAAUAAGUACCAGUUACCCACUGGGGUCGAAUUAAUCGAUUUAAACCCUUUGUCUGUCCUUGUUUGUCCCUUCUGUGUUUAGCCCUUUGUGGGUAGUAAAGAAACAAGUAUUUCGUCUGCCGCUACGUUCUGAGUUCAAAUUCCGCCGAGGUGGACUUUACCUUUCGUCCUUUUGUGAGUCGAUAAAUUAAGUACCAGUUGCGUACUGGGGGCGAUGUAAUCGACUAGUCCCUUCCUCCAAAAUUUCAGGCCUUGUGCCUAUAGUAGAAAGGAAUAUUAUUAUUAGGGCGGUGAGCUGGCAGAAUCGUUAACACGCCGGACGAAAUGCUUAGCAGCAUUUCGACCGUCUUUACGUUUUGAAUUCAAAUUCCGCCGAGGUAAACCUUUGCCUUUCAUCCUUUCUGGAUCCAUGAAAUAAGUAUCAGUUACGUAUUGGGGUCAGCAUAAUUGGCUAGCCCCUCCCCACAAAAUUCGAGGCCUUGUGCCUUUAGUUAAAGGGAUCAUUAUCAUUAUUUUUAAGGCGACGAGUUGGCAGAAUCGUUAACACGCCGGGCAAAAUGUUUAGUAGAAUUCCAUCUGUCUUUAUGUUCUGAGUUCAAAUUCUGUCAAGAUCAACUUUGCUUUUCAUCUUUUUGGGGUCAGUAAAUCGAAUACCAGUGAUACUCUGGGGUUGAUGUAAUCGACAAUUCUACCCCACCCAAAGUUUCAGGACUUGUGCUUUCGCAGAAACGAUCGUUACUAGUAUUAGUAUUGUUAUUGUUCUAUAUCUUAGAGUUCAGGAAUUCUGUACAUUAUUUACAUUAUUUACAUUGGACGGUUAUGUGACCCCAUUUUGUUUGUUGUUACCACAAUUUUUCGGCUGAUUUACUCUCCAGCCUUCAUCAGCUGUCCUGGUAGAAUUUUGAACCCAACCCUGGGUUCUCAUUCCUAAAGUAUUUUUUGGUGAUAUGAUUAUUAUUAUUAUUAUCAUCAUCAUCAUCAUCAUCAUUAUUAUUAUUAUUAUUAUUAUCAUUAUUAUUAUUAUUAUUAUUCUAGGCACUGGCAAAACGUUGUGGUUACAACAAACAAGAUGAGGGCACACAUCCGUCCAGUGUAAAUAAUGUAUUAGUUGUAUUAUAUUCAUUUCACUUUUCAGAGCUUUCGAUUUCACUGGCUCCGCCUAAUUAAGAGCCGACAGCAACCUGUUGUCAAAGAUCUCACAGGGCCUCUUUCCACAACACUUAACACCCAAGUACCAGUCUCAAAAUCCUUUCGAGGCAAACUCUGCAGGCACAGAUGCGCACGCACUCGUUCAGUGUCCUGGCGUUGCAGACGUGGGGUCAUAUCGAACAGCUGCUGUCACGUGUGGGACGGACCCGUCUAUCGGCUGAAUCUGUAAUGAUGAUUGCCCCGCCGCCCUCCUUCAGUCAGGCAGGCAGUCAGGCAAGACAGUUUUCCUUUGCCUGGUGACUUUGGCGAAAGAGGUUGUUUGGUGUACAAGGUUGAAAAGCAUGAGAAAAGAAACGUUCCUCUUUGGUAGAGCUCUCAUUGACUUCAAGUUUCACUCGAAAACGAAAUUGAGAGUGGAGAGGGAAGUGUUGCCCUCGAGUGAGUUCAUUGAAAGGUGGGUGAAAGUUGCGAAAAUGGCAAGGAUGGAUUGUACCUCUUUCAGUGUAGUGCUAACGAUUCUGCCAGCUCGCC
rnacentral:lncRNA from 1 species